rnacentral:rRNA from 1 species
AGAGUUUGAUUCUGGCUCAGGAUGAACGCUGGCGGCGUGCAUAACACAUUCAAGUCGAACGGGGCUUCACGUAUUAAUCCUUCGGGAAGCGUGUGUAAAGCUUAGUGGCGGACGGGUGAGUAACGCGUGAGCAACCUGCCUGUGAUAGAGGGAUAACACCGGGAAACGGGUGCUAAUACCGCAUGAGGCAGCACCACCGCAUGGUGGAGCUGUUAAAGGGAAACCGAUCGCAGACGGGCUCGCGUAUGAUUAGGUAGUUGGUGAGGUAACGGCUCACCAAGCCUGCGAUCAUUAGCCGAACUGAGAGGUUGAACGGCCACAUUGGAACUGAGAAACGGUCCAGACUCCUACGGGAGGCAGCAGUGGGGAAUAUUGGGCAAUGGGUGAAAGCCUGACCCAGCGACGCCGCGUGAGGGAAGAAGGUCUUCGGAUUGUAAACCUCUUUCAGCAGGGAAGAAGAAAGUGACGGUACCUGCAGAAGAAGUCACGGCUAACUACGUGCCAGCAGCCGCGGUAAUACGUAGGUGGCGAGCGUUAUCCGGAAUUACUGGGUGUAAAGGGUGUGUAGGCGGGGCUGCAAGUCAGGCGUGAAAAUUAUGGGCUCAACCCAUAAACUGCGCUUGAAACUGUAGCUCUUGAGUGUGGGAGAGGUAAACGGAAUUCCUGGUGUAGUAGUGAAAUGCGUAGAUAUCAGGAGGAACACCGGUGGCGAAGGCGGUUUACUGGACCAUAACUGACGCUGAGACACGAAAGCGUGGGGAGCAAACAGGAUUAGAUACCCUGGUAGUCCACGCUGUAAACGCCUAAAACGAGGUGUGGGGAUCGCAGGAUUUCCGUGCCGCAGUUAACACAAUAAAGUAUUCCACCUGGGGAGUACGGCCGCAAGGUUGAAACUCAAAGGAAUUGACGGGAGCCCGCACAGGCAGUGGAGUAUGUGGUUUAAUUUGUCGCAACGCGAAGAACCUUACCAGAGCUUGACAUCCUGAGGAGCCGACGUAAUGGUUGGUGUGCCCUUCGGGGAACUCAGAGACAGGUGGUGCAUGGUUGUCGUCAGCUCGUGUCGUGAGAUGUUGGGUUAAGUCCCGCAACGAGCGCAACCCUUACGGUUAGUUGCUACGAAAGAGCACUCUGGCCGGACUGCCGUUGACAAAACGGAGGAAGGUGGGGAGGACGUCAAAUCAUCAUGCCCCCUACGUUCUGGGCUACACACGUACUACAAUGGCGCAAACAGAGGGAAGAUGAGCCGCGAGGCGGAGCAAACCCCAAAAAAGGCGUCCCAGUUCGGACUGUAGGCUGCAACCCGCCUGCACGAAGAUGGAGUUG